AACAAGACAGAAGAUAGUCAAUCUUACUGUCGUGCAUACCUAAAGCGGGUCUGCCGCCUUCGUUUCUCUUUCUUCGCGAAUGACUAACCUCCCUUUGGCUAAGCCCACAAGGCGUGCCUUGCCGGUGCAAUUGGUGCCAGCAGGGUUCGGUUUAGGGCUUGUAGCUCAGUUGGUUAGAGCGCGCGCUUGAUAAGCGUGAGGUCGGAGGUUCAAGUCCUCCCAGGCCCACCAUUUCCUCCGCCCGCAUGAUCCCAGAAAGUUGCAGACUUUUUGGAUAAGGUUAUGCGUUUGGGACAUGAAGGUUAUCAGGGGCCGUAGCUCAGCUGGGAGAGCGCCUGCUUUGCAAGCAGGAUGUCGUCGGUUCGAUCCCGUCCGGCUCCACCAACACGCAAUCCGCAGGAUUGUCGUGGACCGCGACGAUCCUUAGGGAUCGCGCGUAGGUGUAGAGUAGAGAUGGUUGCCGGUGGUUGGUCAUUCGAAAAUGAGUUUGCGUCGAGCCUAGUGCUCUGCGCCUGUUCUGUUUGACAUCGUAAAGAGAAGAUUUGUUCGAACUUCAUGGUCCGCAAGGAUCAUGAUUUGUCGCAAGAGACGCUCAAUCUCUUGCAUAUGAUGGGUAAGCCUAACCGCGCCCUCGAACCGAUCUCGAGAAGCUGGUCUUUUUGUG
rnacentral:misc_RNA from 1 species